rnacentral:rRNA from 1 species
GACGGAGGGGGCAAGCGUUGUCCGGAAUCAUUGGGCGUAAAGGGCGCGUAGGUGGCGGGACAAGCGUGCGGUGAAAGCCUGGGGCUCAACCCCGGGUCGGCCGUGCGAACUGUUUUGCUUGAGCACUGUAGAGGCAGGCGGAAUUCCGGGUGUAGCGGUGGAAUGCGUAGAGAUCCGGAAGAACACCGGUGGCGAAGGCGGCCUGCUGGGCAGUAGCUGACACUGAGGCGCGACAGCGUGGGGAGCAAACAGG